GACGAACGCUGGCGGCGUGCUUAACACAUGCAAGUCGAACGGUGAAGCGCCUUCCUUUUUGGUGGGUGUGGAUGCGUGGCGAACGGGUGAGUAACACGUGACUACCCUGCCCCCUUCUUCUGGUUAACCGCAUUAAAGUGUGUCUAAUACAGGAUCUUCUGCUUCUUUCUCAUGAUUGGUCUGGGUCAGAUAUUGUUUCGGGUGUGGCUGGUCGCGCGGCGUAUCAGCUUGUUGGUGGGGUGAUGGCCUACCAAGGCGGUGCAGGGUAGACGGCCUGAGAGGGUGGACGGUCAGACUGGGAGUGAGACACGGCGCAGACUCAGACGGGAGGCAGAAGUGGGGAAGAGGGAACAAUGGGGGAAAGUGUGAUGCAGGGACGACGCGGAAGGGAUGGAGGCCUUCGGGUUGUGAACGUCUUUGGCCAGUGAAGCAGGCCUGCCUCGUUUGUGGGUGGGUUGGCGGUAGCUGGAAAAGAAGCGCCGGCUAACUACGUG
rnacentral:rRNA from 1 species